rnacentral:rRNA from 1 species
GACGAACGCUGGCGGCGUGCUUAACACAUGCAAGUCGAACGGUAAGGCCCUUUCGGGGGUACACGAGUGGCGAACGGGUGAGUAACACGUGGGUGAUCUUCCCUGCACUUUGGGAUAAGCCUGGGAAACUGGGUCUAAUACCGGAUAGGACUACGCGAUGCAUGUCGUGUGGUGGAAAGCUUUUGCGGUAUGGGAUGGGCCCGCGGCCUAUCAGCUUGUUGGUGGGGUGAUGGCCUACCAAGGCGACGACGGGUAGCCGGCCUGGGAGGGUGUCCGGCCACACUGGGACUGAGGUACGGCCCAGACUCCUACGGGAGGCAGCAGUGGGGAAUAUUGCGCAAUAGGCGCAAGCCUGAUGCAGCGACGCCGCGUGCGGGAUGACGGCCUUCGGGUUAUAAACCCCUUUCAGCACAGACGAAGCGUAAGUGACGGUAUGUGCAGAAAAAGCACCGGCCAACUACGUG